UGAAUACGAGAUGCUACGGCGUCGAAGCAGUCUAUGUCAUACUUCCAAGAAAAGCUUGCACUGUCAUAAACAAAUAAUGCCUGUACCAUAACCGACACAGGUGGGUAGGUAGAGUAUACUAAGGGGCGCGAGAUAACUCUCUCUAAGGAACUCGGCAAAAUGACUCCGUAACUUCGGGAGAAGGAGUGCCUUAUUUUAUAAGGUUGCAAUAACAAGAUCCAAGCAACUGUUUACCAAAAACACAGGUCUCCGCUAAGUCGUAAGACGAUGUAUGGGGGCUGACGCCUGCCCAGUGCCAGAAGGUUAAAGAAGUUGGUUAGCAUCCGCGAAGCUGAUAACUGAAGCCCUGGUGAACGGCGGCCGUAACGAUAACGGUCCUAAGGUAGCGAAAUUCCUUGUCGGGUAAGUUCCGACCCGCACGAAAGGCGUAAUGAUUUGGAUACUGUCUCAGAGAGGGGCUCGGUGAAAUAGACUUGUCUGUGAAGAUGCGGACUACCUGCACCAGGACAGAAAGACCCUAUGAAGCUUUACUGUAACUUGAAAUUGAAACUGGACUUUACUUGCGCAGUAUAGGUGGGAGGCGUUGAUAAUAUUCUUGCGGGAAUGUUGGAGCCAUCAGUGAGAUACCACUCUUGUAAUGUUAGAUUUCUAACUUUGUAUCAUUAUCUGGUCAAAGGACAGUUUCAGGCGGGCAGUUUGACUGGGGCGGUCGCCUCCCAAACGGUAACGGAGGCGCACAAAGGUUUCCUCUGAACGGGUAGAAAUCGUAUCUAGAGUGUAAAGGCAUAAGGAAGCUUGACUGUGAGACCUACAAGUCGAGCAGGGACGAAAGUCGGUCUUAGUGAUCUGACGGUGCUGAGUGGAAAGGCCGUCACUCAACGGAUAAAAGUUACUCUAGGGAUAACAGGCUGAUCUCCCCCAAGAGUUCACAUCGACGGGGAGGUUUGGCACCUUGAUGUCGGCUCAUCGCAUCCUGGGGCGGUAGUACGUCCCACGGGUUGGGCUGUUCGCCCAUGAAAGCGGUACGCGAGCUGGGUUCAGAAUGUCGAGAGACAGUUCGGUCCAUAUCCGGUGUAGGCGUUAGAAUAUUGAGAGGAGCCUUCUUUAGUACGAGAGGACCGAGAAGGACAUACCUCUGGUGUACCAGUUAUCGUGCCAACGGUAAACGCUGGGUAGCUAUGUAUGGAGUGGAUAACCGCUGAAAGCAUCUAAGUGGGAAGCCCACCUCAAGAUAAGUAUUC
rnacentral:rRNA from 1 species